GACGUAGGGUGCGAGCGUUGUCCGGAUUUAUUGGGCGUAAAGAGCUCGUAGGCGGCUCGUCGCGUCGACCGUGAAAACCCGCGGCUUAACUGCGGGCUUGCGGUUGAUACGGGCGGGCUAGAGUUCGGUAGGGGAGACUGGAAUUCCUGGUGUAGCGGUGAAAUGCGCAGAUAUCAGGAGGAACACCGGUGGCGAAGGCGGGUCUCUGGGCCGACACUGACGCUGAAGCGCGAAAGCUAGGGGAGCGAACGGG
rnacentral:rRNA from 1 species